AUUGAACGCUGGCGGCAUGCCUUACACAUGCAAGUCGAACGGCAGCGGGGACCUCGGUCCGCCGGCGAGUGGCGAACGGGUGAGUAAUGCAUCGGAACGUGCCCAGUCGUGGGGGAUAACGCAGCGAAAGCUGCGCUAAUACCGCAUACGAUCUAUGGAUGAAAGCGGGGGACCGUAAGGCCUCGCGCGAUUGGAGCGGCCGAUGUCAGAUUAGGUAGUUGGUGGGGUAAAGGCUCACCAAGCCAACGAUCUGUAGCUGGUCUGAGAGGACGACCAGCCACACUGGGACUGAGACACGGCCCAGACUCCUACGGGAGGCAGCAGUGGGGAAUUUUGGACAAUGGGCGCAAGCCUGAUCCAGCAAUGCCGCGUGCAGGAAGAAGGCCUUCGGGUUGUAAACUGCUUUUGUACGGAACGAAACGGCUCUGGUUAAUACCUGGGGCUAAUGACGGUACCGUAAGAAUAAGCACCGGCUAACUACGUGCCAGCCGCCGCCGUAAUAC
rnacentral:rRNA from 1 species